GACGAACGCUGGCGGCGUGCUUAACACAUGCAAGUCGAACGGGAUAAUUUGAGAGCUUGCUCUUAGAGAAUCUAGUGGCAAACGGGUGAGUAACACGUAGACAACCUGCCGACAGGAUGGGGACAACAUUCCGAAAGGAAUGCUAAUACCGAAUGAAGCGGAGGAGAGGCAUCUCUCCUCCGUGAAAGAUGGCCUCUGAAUAUGCUAUCACCUGUCGAUGGGUCUGCGUCUGAUUAGCUAGUUGGUGAGGUAACGGCUCACCAAGGCGACGAUCAGUAGCCGGUCUGAGAGGAUGAACGGCCACAUUGAGACUGAGACACGGCCCAGACUCCUACGGGAGGCAGCAGUGGGGAAUCUUCCGCAAUGGGCGCAAGCCUGACGGAGCAACGCCGCGUGAGUGAAGAAGGUCUUCGGAUCGUAAAGCUCUGUUGACGGGGACGAACGUGCGAAGGGUGAAUAAUCCUUUGUAAUGACGGUACCUGUCGAGGAAGCCACGGCUAACUACGUG
rnacentral:rRNA from 1 species